rnacentral:rRNA from 1 species
GAUGAACGCUGGCGGCGUGCCUAAUACAUGCAAGUCGAACGCAUAGCGAAAGGUGCUUGCCCCUUUCAAGUGAGUGGCGAACGGGUGAGUAACACGUGGACAACCUGCCUCAAGGCUGGGGAUAACAUUUGGAAACAGAUGCUAAUACCGAAUAAAACUUAGUGUCGCAUGACACAAAGUUAAAAGGCGCUUCGGCGUCACCUAGAGAUGGAUCCGCGGUGCAUUAGUUAGUUGGUGGGGUAAAGGCCUACCAAGACAAUGAUGCAUAGCCGAGUUGAGAGACUGAUCGGCCACAUUGGGACUGAGACACGGCCCAAACUCCUACGGGAGGCUGCAGUAGGGAAUCUUCCACAAUGGGCGAAAGCCUGAUGGAGCAACGCCGCGUGUGUGAUGAAGGCGUUCGGGUCGUAAAGCACUGUUGUAUGGGAAGAACAGCUAGAAUAGGAAAUGAUUUUAGUUUGACGGUACCAUACCAGAAAGGGACGGCUAAAUACGUG